GGAUUGAAUGCAGGAUGAGCUUUGUAAGGAAGACGACGAAAUAGACUGGGAUUAAACCAUUCAUGUUCCCUGUGAUGUUCAUGGAUUGCUGGUCCUUGUACAUUCUCGACACUGAGAAGAAGAUUGCAAUGGUGCUUGAUCCAACAGAGACAGAUCCAUCAGAUGAGAUGAAGAGGAAGCAUGAGGCGCUGGCGAGGAAGUUCCAGCGUAGGUUUUACAACCUUUUUAAUGACAAGUUUGGAGCAGGCUUGGUCGAGACGACUGGAUGGUCAUUUGUGUACCCGUUGGUUGCGCAACACGAGCCAUGCACCAGGGAAGACGGUGUGGUGUAUGUCGUGCACUACAUACUGGAGUUCACUGGCCUUUACCUGAGAUCGAAUAUGAACCAGGAGCAGAUCGAGCACCUCCGCAAGAAGAUUGCAUGUGAGAUAGUGACGAUGAAGGGGAAUAAGGGAUGCAUCCCAGAGUUCCUGUACGAGGAGAUCCUCGACUAAAGUGAUGAAGUAUUCGUUCACUCUACGUGCAGCCCGGCAAGAUCUUUUGGUUGAAUUGUCCCGAUUUAGUUGCUGGGGCAUUUUGCAGCACAAACACCUGCCACCUUGUAGAUGAAAAACUAUGGACAUGUACUGCAUUUUUAGAUGGAUUCUUAAGCAGUUUAAGUAAAUGUAAGCGCUGAUAUGAUAUGUGGAUGUAUGUUCAUCUCUCAGAAUGUGCAAUGCUAUUGGUACUAGUGGUUAUUUGAUCCCGUGAUUUUCAUACCAGAAUUGAGUAGCUGUGUCCGAA